rnacentral:rRNA from 1 species
GCUGAAUAUUUAGCCCCCCCCCCUCUUAUAUUAUCCCGUCACCUUAAUUUUUCAACUAAAACAUUCUCCAAGUUUAGUAAAGGCGAUUAAAAAAUUUCUCCAGGAGCAAUAACUAUAGUACCGUAAGGGAAAAAUGAAAUAAAAAUGAAACAACUUUUAAGCAUAAAAAAGUAGAGCUUAACCCUCGUACCUUUUGCAUCAUGGUUUAACUAGUUUAAAUAAGCAAAAAGAUUUCUAGUUUAUCUUCCCGAACCUAGACGAGCUAUCUUAAGACAGCUUCCUGAGCAAACCCGUCUCUGUCGCAAAAGAGUGGGGAGAUCUUAAAAUAGCGGUGAUAAGCCAAACGAGUCUAGUGAUAGCUGGUUGCUCAUCAAAAGGAUUUUAGUCCUGCUUAAAGCUACUCUUAUAAUGUAAAAUUCUACCUUUAAAGUUAUUCAAAUAAGGUACAGCCUAUUUGAAAAAGGAGACAACCUCAACUAUUGGGUUAUUAAUAUUAAAUUUUGACAAAGUAGGCCUAAAAGCAGCCACCUUAAACAAAAGCGUCAAAGCUUCCUCAUUAUUUAAUCAAAUUCCUCUACCUCUUAUUAACCCCUUCUUCCUAAAGAGCAAUUCUAUAUUCUUAUAGAAACUACUAUGUUAAAACUAGUAAUAAGAAGCAAGCCCUUCUCUUUAAUGCAAAUCUACAUCAGCAAGGACAUCCCACUGAUUCUUAACGCCCUUAAAGACGUUGCAGUAACUGAUCAAGAAAACACUUCUUUUUCUAGCGUUAACCUGACACAAGAGCAUUUUAAGAAAGAUUAAAAGAAAAAGAAGGAACUCGGCAAAUAGUAGCCUCGCCUGUUUACCAAAAACAUCGCCUCUUGCCCCUCCCAUGAGAGGUCCAGCCUGCCCAGUGACUCUGUUCAACGGCCGCGGUAUCCUAACCGUGCGAAGGUAGCGUAAUCACUUGUUCUUUAAAUGAGGACUAGUAUGAAUGGCCUCACGAAGGCUACACUGUCUCCUUUUUCUAAUCAAUGAAACUAACCUUCUCGUGAAGAAGCGAGAAUAAUUUUAUAAGACGAGAAGACCCUAUGGAGCUUUAAACAACCGAAAAAAUUGCAUACUCCCAUCUUACCUCCCGAGCCCACACUUUUUAUUUAGACACUUUUAUUUCCAGUUUUAGGUUGGGGUGACCACGGAGCAAAAUUUAACCUCCACGACGAAAAAGAUUUCCUCUUUUAGCUAAAAGCUACCUCUUUAAGCAUCAGCAGACUGACUUCUUUUGACCCAAUAAAUUGAUCAACGAACCAAGUUACCCUAGGGAUAACAGCGCAAUCUACUUUAAGAGCUCAUAUCGACAAGUAGGUUUACGACCUCGAUGUUGGAUCAGGGUAUCCUAGUGGUGCAGCCGCUACUAAUGGUUCGUUGUCAACGAUAAA